CACAUAAAAAAAAAAAAAAUUCAGACGAUUAAAAUAUAUUUACGCCCACUCCCCGAAAAAACGCGCCUAUUGUCCGGACAGCCCCGCGUCACCGCCCCGCCCCGCCUGGCCCGCCCCGCCCCGCGCCGCCGCCCCCCACCCCCUAGGCCGAGCCGGAGGGAGGAACCGGGGAGAGAGGGAGGAGGGAUGGAAGGAGGGGGCUGGCCGGCCGACCGAGAACGAGGGAGACUGUGAGGAGCGCAAGCCCGGAAAGACUGCAGAACAGCUCGGGAGGAGAGACCCCCUCCCCAGAGAGGGGAGACAGAGGGAUCGAGAGAGAGUUACUGAGCUGCAGACUGUAUCUCCAGCUACCCAAAGGCUCCCCCCGUCCCCAGCCACACGCCCAAUGCUGUGCCACGAUCUGGAUUCAUCACACCGGAAGGCCUACCUUGCUGACAGCUGACCAAGGAGGGUAUGCCACACAGCCCGUGCCUACCCCAGCACACACAGUGGGUGGGUAUCCCUGCCCAGAGAGCAGGGCGCUACAGGCUCAAGUCUGGUUCAGGACACCUAGGGUACUGAGACCUGUGAUCACCACAACCCCAAUCCUACCCCAUUCAGUGUAGGAGAGCAAGACUGACAUGUUCAGAUGACAUAACUCCUGGGGGAUUGUCAUCAGUUUUGCUGAGAAUGGUACUUCCUGAUUGUGCAGUGCCCAAUCCACACAACUGUGCCCAGGAGUCCUGCCAACUGUGUUUCCUCUGUCCACAUAAAAUGAAAUGGGAUUGAAAAGACUUAAUUUUUUUAAGCUCUAUCAAGUUCUACGUGUCUCUUCCCUAGAUGAUGAGCAGUGUGUUGAAACAAGGGAGGAAAAUAUAUCUCACCUCCACACUUCCUGUUAAAAGUCCACCUUCAUUUAGAAACCUACUUGCUUGUCUUAGAUUUGUAUUACAGAUCAGAGCAAAAUUUGCUCAACAUUGUAAGUAGACCGAGUGUGGUGAGCGGAGCGCUAAGGUCGCCCCCUGGUGUCCAUGCCUUGAAUAAUCCAUCCCUUUCCUGACUUGAGUUAUCUCAGG
rnacentral:lncRNA from 1 species